rnacentral:rRNA from 1 species
ACUCAAAGGAAUUGACGGGGACCCGCACAAGCAGCGGAGCAUGUUGUUUAAUUCGAAGCAACGCGAAGAACCUUACCAAAUCUUGACAUCCCUCUGCCGUGCACUGUAGUGGUGCAUUUCCCUUCGGGGACAGAGGAGACAGGUGGUGCAUGGUUGUCGUCAGCUCGUGUCGUGAGAUGUUGGGUUAAGUCCCGCAACGAGCGCAACCCCUAUUUCUAGUUGCCAUCAGGUAAAGCUGGGCACUCUAGAGAGACUGCCGGAGACAAUCCGGAGGAAGGUGGGGAUGAUGUCAAAUCAUCAUGCCCUUUAUGAUUUGGGCUACAAACGUGCUACAAUGGUCGGUACAACGGGCAGCGAACCGGUAACGGGGAGCCAAUCUCAAAAAGCCGAUCUCAGUUCGGAUUGAGGGCUGCAACUCGCCCUCAUGAAGUUGGAGUUGCUAGUAAUCGCGAAUCAGCAUGUCGCGGUGAAUGCGUUCCCGGGUCUUGUACACACCGCCCGU